CAGUACCGUGAGGGAAAGGCGAAAAGAACCCCGGCGAGGGGAGUGAAAAAGAACCUGAAACCGUGUACGUACAAGCAGUGGGAGCACGCUUAGGCGUGUGACUGCGUACCUUUUGUAUAAUGGGUCAGCGACUUAUAUUCUGUAGCAAGGUUAACCGAAUAGGGGAGCCGAAGGGAAACCGAGUCUUAACUGGGCGUUAAGUUGCAGGGUAUAGACCCGAAACCCGGUGAUCUAGCCAUGGGCAGGUUGAAGGUUGGGUAACACUAACUGGAGGACCGAACCGACUAAUGUUGAAAAAUUAGCGGAUGACUUGUGGCUGGGGGUGAAAGGCCAAUCAAACCGGGAGAUAGCUGGUUCUCCCCGAAAGCUAUUUAGGUAGCGCCUCGUGAAUUCAUCUCCGGGGGUAGAGCACUGUUUCGGCAAGGGGGUCAUCCCGACUUACCAACCCGAUGCAAACUGCGAAUACCGGAGAAUGUUAUCACGGGAGACACACGGCGGGUGCUAACGUCCGUCGUGAAGAGGGAAACAACCCAGACCGCCAGCUAAGGUCCCAAAGUCAUGGUUAAGUGGGAAACGAUGUGGGAAGGCCCAGACAGCCAGGAUGUUGGCUUAGAAGCAGCCAUCAUUUAAAGAAAGCGUAAUAGCUCACUGGUCGAGUCGGCCUGCGCGGAAGAUGUAACGGGGCUAAACCAUGCACCGAAGCUGCGGCAGCGACGCUUAUGCGUUGUUGGGUAGGGGAGCGUUCUGUAAGCCUGCGAAGGUGUGCUGUGAGGCAUGCUGGAGGUAUCAGAAGUGCGAAUGCUGACAUAAGUAACGAUAAAGCGGGUGAAAAGCCCGCUCGCCGGAAGACCAAGGGUUCCUGUCCAACGUUAAUCGGGGCAGGGUGAGUCGACCCCUAAGGCGAGGCCGAAAGGCGUAGUCGAUGGGAAACAGGUUAAUAUUCCUGUACUUGGUGUUACUGCGAAGGGGGGACGGAGAAGGCUAUGUUGGCCGGGCGACGGUUGUCCCGGUUUAAGCGUGUAGGCUGGUUUUCCAGGCAAAUCCGGAAAAUCAAGGCUGAGGCGUGAUGACGAGGCACUACGGUGCUGAAGCAACAAAUGCCCUGCUUCCAGGAAAAGCCUCUAAGCAUCAGGUAACAUCAAAUCGUACCCCAAACCGACACAGGUGGUCAGGUAGAGAAUACCAAGGCGCUUGAGAGAACUCGGGUGAAGGAACUAGGCAAAAUGGUGCCGUAACUUCGGGAGAAGGCACGCUGAUAUGUAGGUGAAGUCCCUCGCGGAUGGAGCUGAAAUCAGUCGAAGAUACCAGCUGGCUGCAACUGUUUAUUAAAAACACAGCACUGUGCAAACACGAAAGUGGACGUAUACGGUGUGACGCCUGCCCGGUGCCGGAAGGUUAAUUGAUGGGGUCAGCGCAAGCGAAGCUCUUGAUCGAAGCCCCGGUAAACGGCGGCCGUAACUAUAACGGUCCUAAGGUAGCGAAAUUCCUUGUCGGGUAAGUUCCGACCUGCACGAAUGGCGUAAUGAUGGCCAGGCUGUCUCCACCCGAGACUCAGUGAAAUUGAACUCGCUGUGAAGAUGCAGUGUACCCGCGGCAAGACGGAAAGACCCCGUGAACCUUUACUAUAGCUUGACACUGAACAUUGAGCCUUGAUGUGUAGGAUAGGUGGGAGGCUUUGAAGUGUGGACGCCAGUCUGCAUGGAGCCGACCUUGAAAUACCACCCUUUAAUGUUUGAUGUUCUAACGUUGACCCGUAAUCCGGGUUGCGGACAGUGUCUGGUGGGUAGUUUGACUGGGGCGGUCUCCUCCUAAAGAGUAACGGAGGAGCACGAAGGUUGGCUAAUCCUGGUCGGACAUCAGGAGGUUAGUGCAAUGGCAUAAGCCAGCUUGACUGCGAGCGUGACGGCGCGAGCAGGUGCGAAAGCAGGUCAUAGUGAUCCGGUGGUUCUGAAUGGAAGGGCCAUCGCUCAACGGAUAAAAGGUACUCCGGGGAUAACAGGCUGAUACCGCCCAAGAGUUCAUAUCGACGGCGGUGUUUGGCACCUCGAUGUCGGCUCAUCACAUCCUGGGGCUGAAGUAGGUCCCAAGGGUAUGGCUGUUCGCCAUUUAAAGUGGUACGCGAGCUGGGUUUAGAACGUCGUGAGACAGUUCGGUCCCUAUCUGCCGUGGGCGCUGGAGAACUGAGGGGGGCUGCUCCUAGUACGAGAGGACCGGAGUGGACGCAUCACUGGUGUUCGGGUUGUCAUGCCAAUGGCACUGCCCGGUAGCUAAAUGCGGAAGAGAUAAGUGCUGAAAGCAUCUAAGCACGAAACUUGCCCCGAGAUGAGUUCUCCCUGACUCCUUGAGAGUCCUGAAGGAACGUUGAAGACGACGACGUUGAUAGGCCGGGUGUGUAAGCGCAGCGAUGCGUUGAGCUAACCGGUACUAAUGAACCGUGAGGCUUAACCUU
rnacentral:rRNA from 1 species